UACGAAGGGGGGCUAGCGUUGCUCGGGAAUCACUGGGCGUAAAGCGCACUAGGCGGAUUGUUAAGUCAGGGGGUGAAAUCCUGGAGCUCAACUCCAGAACUGCCUUUGAUACUGGGCAACCUAGAGACUGGAAGAGGUUAGUGGAAUUCCCAGUGUAGAGGUGAAAUUCGUAGAUAUUGGGAAGAACACCAGUGGCGAAGGCGGCUAACUGGUCCAGCACUGACGCUGAGGUGCGAAAGCGUGGGGAGCAAACAGG
rnacentral:rRNA from 1 species